rnacentral:rRNA from 1 species
GACAGAGGUCCCGAGCGUUAGGCGGAAUCACUGGGCUUAAAGCGUGUGUAGGCGGAAUUGUAAGUACCUUGUGAAAUCCCACGGCUCAACCGUGGAACUGCUCGGUAUACUGCUUUUCUUGAGCCACUUAGGGGCUACCGGAACAAAUGGUGGAGCGGUGAAAUGCGUAGAUAUCAUUUGGAACGCCAAUGGUGAAAACAGGUAGCUGGGAGUGUGCUGACGCUGAGACACGAAAGCCAGGGGAGCGAACGGG